rnacentral:lncRNA from 1 species
UCAAGUCUUUAUUGACAAGGAUUGUCCUCAUUAAGUGCACACUUAACAAGUCUUUACAUGCUCGCAAAUAAGCUCUUCGUGUUUGGUUUAAGCAAUUAAACGCCUUUUAGGCAUUAUAUUGGUUUUUGACCUUCUCGAGCUUACAUAUCUUUUUUCAUUUUUUUAGAAUUUUAAAACUAUACUUUGUAUUUGUUUAUUU